AGGGAUUGGAAAGAUUUAUCGGUUAUGGAUGGUCUCGCGGCCUAUCAGCUUGAUGGUGGGGUAAUGGCCUACCAUGGCAAUGACGGGUAACCGGCCUGAGAGGGUGACCGGUCACACUGGAACUGAGACACGGUCCAGACUCCUACGGGAGGCAGCAGUGGGGAAUAUUGCACAAUGGGCGCAAGCCUGAUGCAGCGACGCCGCGUGAAGGAUGACGGCCUUCGGGUUGUAAACUUCUUUUAACGGGGAAGAAGCGUAAGUGACGGUACCUGUUGAAUAAGCACCGGCUAACUACGUGCCAGCAGCCGCGGUAAUACGUAGGGUGCAAGCGUUGUCCGGAAUUAUUGGGCGUAAAGAGCUCGUAGGCGGUUUGUCGCGUCUGCUGUGAAAGACCGGGGCUUAACCCCGGUUCUGCAGUGGGUACGGGCAGGCUAGAGUGUGGUAGGGGAGAAUGGAAUUCCUGGUGUAGCGGUGGAAUGCGCAGAUAUCAGGAAGAACACCGAUGGCGAAGGCAGUUCUCUGGGCCACUACUGACGCUGAGGAGCGAAAGCGUGGGGAGCGAACAGGAUUAGAUACCCUGGUAGUCCACGCCGUAAACGGUGGGCACUAGAUGUGGGAAUUUUUCUACGGUUUCCGUGUCGCAGCUAACGCAUUAAGUGCCCCGCCUGGGGAGUACGGUCGCAAGGCUAAAACUCAAAGGAAUUGACGGGGGCCCGCACAAGCGGCGGAGCAUGCGGAUUAAUUCGAUGCAACGCGAAGAACCUUACCAAGGCUUGACAUAUGCCAGACAGGGUCAGAGA
rnacentral:rRNA from 1 species